rnacentral:lncRNA from 1 species
AUGAAUGACCGACAGUCCUAGAAUCUACCCCAGCCAUCACCACCAUAUGUAACUAAUACUGAAGUCAACACAAAUGCCAAGAAACAGGAGCAAGCAUUGAACCCAAUGCGUGGAUCUUGAUAAUGACAAACACCCCAUCAACUCUUACUGGGAGAAGAACUGUGAGCGCUGUGUUUGUAGAAAAGACAAGAUUUCUUGCUGCAGGCUACAGAACUUACAUGGCUGAGUACUUCAAGCAAAUGGAUUGCCAGGUAAUAUUCCACCCAGGGACCUGCACCUACACUGUGGAACAGAAAGACCCACAAAAGCCCUGUUUUAACUAAGUAGACACUGUGAACAUACUUCUGCUGGGCUCAGCACUCCCAGCCUGAAGGAUAUUUGUAAGCCAGGCUAUUCUCUAGUCACUUCUCAUAAUCUGUGAUUACAUAGCCCUACCUAAUAGUGUUUUAAAAACUUGGAUUUGAAUAUGUUUAUGUUUAAAAUUUGCCAAUUAUAUUUGUGUUGAUUUGAUGCAUGUAAUAGCACAACAAAUAAACACUUAAAGGAG